rnacentral:misc_RNA from 1 species
GAUGAAGAACGUAGCGAAAUGCGAUAAGUAAUGUGAAUUGCAGAAUUCCGUGAAUCAUCGAAUCUUUGAACGCACAUUGCGCCCCCUGGCAUUCCGGGGGGCAUGCCUGUCCGAGCGUCAUUUCUGCCCUCCAGCCCGGCUGGGUGUUGGGCGCUGUCCCCCCGGGGACACGCCCCAAAGGCAGUGGCGGCGCCGCGUCGGGUCCUCGAGCGUAUGGGGCUUUGUCACCCGCUCGGGACGGACUCGUCGGCGCUGGUCUUCCUCCAGGCGACCCUUCGGGGCUCGUCUUCCUUCGGUUGACCCCGGAUCAGGUAGGGUUACCCGCUGAACUUAAGCAUAUCAAUAAGCGGAGGA